ensembl:lncRNA LINC00662 long intergenic non-protein coding RNA 662
GACUAACGGCUGGAACCGCCUAAGACACCACCCCAGCCAGCAUGGCCGGCAGGAGCGCACCGCGCUGUCUCCCUCCAGGGAUCCGCACCGCCCUACAAUCCUGCUUUGUGCUGAGAUUGUAGUCCUGCAGGCGUACAACUAACAAGCUGGGUGCAGAUAAGAGACUACAGCUCCCCGCAUCCCAAGCAAAGGUCCCUCCUCUACGGAGCCCCUCCACGCGUCCACUGCGGUUCCGCCGUGCCAAGGGGAGCUUGGCUGUUCACGGGCCUCACCUGCUAGCGAGAAGAUAGCUUGGCCGGGCGGCUGAUCUCACCUUGUAAUUCUGACACUGUGUCUCCCGGGCUUGUCGGCUUCAUGACUUGUGCCCAAAGUUUGAUUUCUCGCAGACCAGGUAAAAGCCAAGAGGCUCUCAUAGGCGCCUUGGCAGAGUUGCCAUUGGAACGGGCGUCCUCUAGUAGCUGGGAUCUCCCCGCCCCUUCCUCCUGAGGGGCCACUCCUUUCUGCCCCACCCUUCUUAUUGCCCCACCCUUUGCCACACUCCUUCAGAGAUGCGCAGUGCUGCCCCUUUCUAUGGGCAGGGCCGAAGGUCCGCGUGUAAAAGUACCCAGUCCCUGGUAACCUGACACUUCCCUUUUAAAAGCCACCUUUUGUCUAUCUCUGGCCUGCCACGAUUCUUCCUGUGCUCCAUAGGAGGACCCAUUGGACCCCCGGGCUGGCUGCAGGGCCCACACCUGGGUUAGACCUCGCACAGGGACGCUGCUGCCACUGUAAUAAAGCGUGCCUACACGCUUCUGAAACUGGUGUAGGAACAACCUCAGUUCUGUGAAAGGCGGACGCAGCAGGACAGAAUCUCCGUGGACAUCUGUCUGGAGGAGCAAUUUUACUGCGACAUUUUAAAGAAACAAAUUUAAUUGAUUUCCAAGGGUGUCCAUCGCGCUUCCUUCACUGCCUUGAUCAUGUCGGGGUCACCACCUGCGGGGGUUUGUCCUGCAGACCCUGACUCAACGACGGAUGAAUAAUGUACACUGACACAGAUCUUAUGCUUGUCAGUCCUGCUGAGCAUCCAGGCCACUUACAGACUCCAAGAAGAGUCCUGUCAGCCACGGCUCUGACUUGUUGGCCCUCCCGGCAUUUAUUUAGCACACAUUUAAUGACAGAAGUCUCAGGCUGGAAACACUCUUUUUGUAGAACAUACAAAUGGACAUUUCUAAGCACAUUGAGGCCUAUAAUGAAAAAUCAAAUAUCCCACAAUGAAAACUAGAAGGAAGCUAUCUGUGAUAAUGCUUUGUGGUGUAUGGAUUCAUCUCACUGACUGAAACCUGAGUUUUGAUUCACCAGGUUGGAAACUCUUUCUGCAGAAUCUGCAAAGAAAUAUUUCUGAGCCCAUUGAGGCCUACAGUGGAAAACUGAAUAUUCUGUGAUAAAACUAGAAACACCCUAUCUGUGAAAAUGCUUUGUGAUGUGUGGAUUUUUCUCAUCGAAUGGAACCUCUGUUUUGACUCACAAGGGUGAAACACUAUUUUAGUAGAAUCUAGGAAGAAACAUAUCUGAGCCCAUUUAUGCCUACAGUGAGAAACUGAAUACCCUGCAAUAAAAAGUAGACAGAAGCUAUUUGUAAAAAUGCUUUGUGAUGUGUGGAUUCAGUGUUAAACUUUUAUUUUGAUUCCACAGUUUUGACACCCUAUUUGUAGAAUAUAUGAAUGAACAUUUCUCAGCCCAUUGAGGCCUAUCAUGUGAAACCAAAUAUUUUAUAAUAAAAACUGGAAACAAGUGAUCUGUUAAAAUGUUUUUUAGUGUGUGAAUUUGUUUCACAAAGAUAAAUCUUUGCAUGGAUUCAACAGGUUGGAAACAUUAUUGUAGAACCUAUGAAGGGAUGUUUUUAGCCUAUUAAGGACUAUAUAUAUAAAAAAAACUAGAAACAAGCUGUCUGUGAAAAUGCUUUGUGAUGUGUGGAUUCAUCUCACAGAGUUCCACCUUUGUUUUUAUUCAACAGGUUAAAAACGCUCUUUUUGUAGAACCUACAAAAAGACAUUUCUGAGCCCAUUGAGGCCUACAGUGAAAAACCAAGAAUCCCAUAAUACAAUCUAGAAAACAAGCUAUCUAGGAAACUGUUUUGGAUGUGUGGAUUCAUUUAACAGAAUGGAAAUAGUGUUUUGAUUCACCAUGUUUGAAACACUCUUUUUGUGGAAUGCACGAAGAACAUUCUUUGUGGAAGAACAUUGAUGCCUAUAGUGAUUAACCAAAUAUCACGUGAUGCAAACUAGAAACAAGCUAUCUGUGAAAAUGCCUUGCAGCGUAUGGAUUCAUGUCACAGAGUUACACCUAUGUUUUGAUUCAACAGGUUGGAAACAAUCUUUUUGUAGAAUCUACAAAGGAAUAUUUCUGAGCCAAUUGAGUUCUAGAGUGAAAAACAGAAUAUCCUGUGAUAAAAACUAUAAAUAAGCUCUCUGUGAAAUUGCUUUGAGACUGUGGAUGCAUCUUUCAGAGUUAUGCCCUUGCUUAUAUUCAACAGGUUGGAAACACUUUUCUUGUAGAAUCUAUGAAGGGAUAUUUCUGAACCUAUUGAGGCCUAUGGUGAAAAAUUGAAUAUUCUGCGAUAUAAACCAGAAACAAGCUCUCUGUGAAAAUGCUUUUCCAUGUGUGCAUCCAUCUUACAGAGUUAAACGUUUGUUUAGAUUCAACAGGUUGGAAAUACUCUUUUUGUAGAAUCUAUGAAGGGAUAUUUCUGAACUUUUUGAGGCCUAUUGGCAAAAUCCGAAUAUUACGUGAUAAAAACUAGAAACAAGGUAUCAGUGAAAAUGCUUUGUGAUGUGUGGGUUUAUCUCACCAAAUAAAACCUGUGUCUUGAUUCACCAGGUUGGACACACUUUUUUUUCUAUAACCUACAUAGGGCGAUUUCUGAGCCUAUUGAGGUCUAUAGCAAAGCAACAACAACAAAUAUCCUGUCUUAUAAUCUAGAAAGAAGUUAUCUCUGAAAAUACUUUAUGAUGUGUGAAUUCAUCUCACAAAGUUAAACCUUUGUUUUGAUUCAACUGAUUGGAAACACUCUUUUUGUAAAAUCUAUGAAGGGAAAUUUCUGAGCCCAUUUAGGCCUAUAGUGAGAAACAGAAUAUCCCACUGUAAUAAGUAGAAACAAGCUAUCUGUGAAAAUCAUUUAUGGUGGCUGGAUUCAUCUCACCAAAUGAAACCUGUGCUUUGAUUCACCAGUUUGGAAACACUAUUUUUAUAGAAUCUAUGCAGGAAUAUUUCUGAUCCCAUUGAGGCAUAUGCUGAAAAUUCGAAUAUCCCAUGAUAAAAACUACAAACAAGCUAUCUAUGAAAAUGUUUUGUCAUGUGUGGAUUCAUCUCACAGAGUUAAACCUUUGUUUUGAUUCAUCUGUUUGAAAACACGCUUUUUUGUAGAAUCUAAGAAUCAACAUUUCUGAGUGCAUUGAAGCCUAUAGUGAAAAACAAAAUAUCUGAUGAUAAAAACUAGAAACAAGCUAUCUGUGAAAAUGCUUUGUGAUAUGUGGAUUCAUCUCAAAGAAUUAAACUUUAUUUUGAUUCAACAGGCUGGAAACACUGUUUUCGUAGAACCUACAAAAAGACAUUGGGGAGCCCACUGAGUCUUACAGUGAUAAACCAAGGAUCCUGUGAUAAAACUAGAAACAAGCUAUCUGUGAAAAUGCUUUGCAGUUGGUGAAUUUCUUUCAUAGUUAAACCUUUUUUUAUUCAAUACGUUGGAAACACCAUUUUUUAGUGUCUCUAAAGGGACUUUUUCAGCCCUUUGAAACCUAUAGUGAAAAACCAAAUAUCUUGCAAUAAAAACAAAUAAACAAAAAAGAACUACUUAUGAAAAUGCCUUGUGAUGUGUGGAUUCAUCUCACAGAGUUAAACCAUUGUUGUGAUUCAACAGGUUGGAAACAUGCUUUUUGUAGAAUCUACGAGUUGACAUUUCUGAGCCCUCUCUGGGUUAUGGUGAAAACGAAAUAUCCCAUGAUAAAAACUAGAAACAACCUAUCUGUGAAAAUGCUUUGCAAUGUGUGGAUUCAUUUCACAGAAUUAAACCAUUGUUUUGAUUUAACAGGUUGGAAACACUCUUUUUGUAGAAUGUAUGAAGAGAUAUUUCUGAGGCCUGUUGUGAAAAACUGAGGUUUCCACAAGAAAAACUGGAAACAAGUUAUCUGAGAAAAUGCUUUAUGAUGGGUGAAUUCAUCUCACAAAAUUAAACCUUCGUUUUGAUUCAAAAGGUUGGAAUAACUUUUCUUUUCUUCUUCUUCUUC